GCGUGAGCUUCGGCAGAGAGAGCAUCUGUGAGCCAAAUUCACCGGUGCAGGGUUUUAAGGAGAAGAGCCACGAGUGACACGUGGAGGAGUCCCAGAGGCUUAGUGGUAUAGAUCCACUGUCUCUUUUGGGUAUUUAAUUUAUGAUUUAUAAUGUGUUAUAUUGCCAAUAUUAGGGCUUUUUGUUUAUUGUCAAUUAUAUGAAUAUAUAAAUGUAAUCAUGCCUUUCAAACUAUUUCUAUUUUUAGUACAAUUUGGAUGACUGUAAUUUUAAUAUUUGGUUUACUUUGGAUUGGUUAAAAUGGCAUGAUUAUAAGGCCAAAUAACUGGCUUGUGUUGAAAAUUGACUAAA